rnacentral:tRNA from 1 species
AUUUAAAUAGUUUAUAAAAAACAUUACAUUUUCAUUGUAAAAUAAAGAAUAUUUCUUUUUAAAUA